UACGUAGGGUGCAAGCGUUGUCCGGAAUUAUUGGGCGUAAAGAGCUCGUAGGCGGUUUGUCGCGUCUGCUGUGAAAUCCCGAGGCUCAACCUCGGGCCUGCAGUGGGUACGGGCAGACUAGAGUGCGGUAGGGGAGAUUGGAAUUCCUGGUGUAGCGGUGGAAUGCGCAGAUAUCAGGAGGAACACCGAUGGCGAAGGCAGGUCACUGGGCCGCAACUGACGCUGAGGAGCGAAAGCAUGGGGAGCGAACAGG
rnacentral:rRNA from 1 species